AGGGAAGGGACCCAGAGACCCAUGUCCUCUGAUUAUCCAGCCAGGCAAGUUUCCCACACACUUGGUCUGCCCCAUCAGUGUGGCUCGUCCUGGGAGAACCCAUGAAUGGAAGCUGGAGGGAGUUCAGUCUCUAUGGCCCACCCAAUCCUUGGCCUCG
rnacentral:sRNA from 1 species